UCAUAAUUGCGGCGCUCAUUCUUUACUCCACAAUCCAAUCAAACAAAACCAUCACCUUUCAUUCUCGUUCAUUUCGGACGAGUAAGAGACAUGAUUAUCACUUAUUAUUUUUCGAUUUUGUCAUCUUUAAAUCAUAGGUAACCUUUUCCUUACUCUCUCUUUAUUUUCUUCAAUUUUCCUUUGUGUGAUAUUCAAUAAAAAUAGAAAAAGUAGGGCUUACAAAUUGUAUGAAAUAUGUUUUUUGUUUAAUUUCAGGAAUUGGGGUUAAUCAACAAGGUUUUUGAUCUGUGGAUCUUGAUGGUUCAUGUUCUCUCUCUAUGUUGUUUGAUAUUAAAUAAAAAUAGAUAAG
rnacentral:lncRNA from 1 species